UACGUAGGGUGCAAGCGUUAAUCGGAAUUACUGGGCGUAAAGCGUGCGCAGGCGGUUUUGUAAGUCUGUCGUGAAAUCCCCGGGCUCAACCUGGGAAUUGCGAUGGAGACUGCAAGGCUUGAAUCUGGCAGAGGGGGGUAGAAUUCCACGUGUAGCAGUGAAAUGCGUAGAGAUGUGGAGGAACACCGAUGGCGAAGGCAGCCCCCUGGGUCAAGAUUGACGCUCAUGCACGAAAGCGUGGGAGCAAACAGG
rnacentral:rRNA from 1 species